rnacentral:rRNA from 1 species
UGGGGAAUUUUGGACAAUGGGGGAAACCCUGAUCCAGCCAUCCCGCGUGUGCGAUGAAGGCCUUCGGGUUGUAAAGCACUUUUGGCAGGAAAGAAACGUCGCGGGUUAAUACCCCGCGAAACUGACGGUACCUGCAGAAUAAGCACCGGCUAACUACGUGCCAGCAGCCGCGGUAAUACGUAGGGUGCAAGCGUUAAUCGGAAUUACUGGGCGUAAAGCGUGCGCAGGCGGUUCGGAAAGAAAGAUGUGAAAUCCCAGAGCUUAACUUUGGAACUGCAUUUUUAACUACCGGGCUAGAGUGUGUCAGAGGGAGGUGGAAUUCCGCGUGUAGCAGUGAAAUGCGUAGAUAUGCGGAGGAACACCGAUGGCGAAGGCAGCCUCCUGGGAUAACACUGACGCUCAUGCACGAAAGCGUGGGGGAGCAAACAGGAUUAGAUACCCUGGUAGUCCACGCCCUAAACGAUGUCAACUAGCUGUUGGGGGCCUUCGGGCCUUGGUAGCGCAGCUAACGCGUGAAGUUGACCGCCUGGGGAGUACGGUCGCAAGAUU